UUAUAACAAAAAAAAUCAAAAGGUAAUGAUUAAAUCUGUAGCCUGCUUGAACUAGCUUAAACUUUAACUGAUUCCUACUCCCAAAACUGAGAUACCAAAAUAUUUAGAUUUUGCAUUUCAAAGAAUUGGACAGAAAACAGAAACAAUCUAGGAGUUAAUGCACCACAAAAAGUUUUAUUCCUUGUCAAUGCGAAAACUAAAUUCAUCACAUAUAG
rnacentral:misc_RNA from 1 species